rnacentral:rRNA from 1 species
AAGGGGAGCAAUCCCUGAGUAAAGUGGCGACCGGGUGAGUAACACGUGACUAACCUACCCUCGAGUGUGGAAUAACAUCGGGAAACCGAUGCUAAUACCGCAUAACAUCGCAAGAUCAAAGGAGCAAUCCGCUUGAGGAGGGGGUCGCGGCUGAUUAGCUAGUUGGCGGGGUAACGGCCCACCAAGGCGAAGAUCGGUAGCCGGCCUGAGAGGGCGCACGGCCACACCGGAACUGAAACACGGUCCAGACUCCUACGGGAGGCAGCAGUGGGGAAUUUUGCGCAAUGGGGGAAACCCUGACGCAGCAACGCCGCGUGGAGGAUGAAGCCCCUUGGG